rnacentral:rRNA from 1 species
UGGGCAUAAAGCGCGCGCAGGUGGUUCCUUAAGUCUGAUGUGAAAGCCCACGGCUCAACCGUGGAGGGUCAUUGGAAACUGGGGAACUUGAGUGCAGAAGAGAAAAGUGGAAUUCCAAGUGUAGCGGUGAAAUGCGUAGAGAUUUGGAGGAACACCAGUGGCGAAGGCGGCUUUUUGGUCUGUAACUGACGCUGAGGCGCGAAAGCGUGGGGAGCAAACAGGAUUAGAAACCCGGGUAGUCC